rnacentral:rRNA from 1 species
UACGAAGGGGGCUAGCGUUGCUCGGAAUUACUGGGCGUAAAGCGCACGUAGGCGGCUUUCUAAGUCGGGGGUGAAAUCCUGGAGCUCAACUCCAGAACUGCAUCCGAUACUGGAAGGCUUGAAUCCGGGAGAGGGAUGCGGAAUUCCAGGUGUAGCGGUGAAAAUGCGUAGAUAUUCGCAAGAACACCAGUGGCGAAGGCGGCUCACUGGCCCGAUACUGACGCUGAGGCACGAAAAGCGUGGGGGAGCAAACAGGG